CCGCGUUGUGUGCUGGGAAGCGCGCGGUAUAUAUGCGGACAUGAUUACCCUCGCAACUGCUAACAGCUGAGGGUAAUCCGGACACACGUGACUUCCCAGCCAAUGACGGAACAGGGAGGAGACAUGACAAACAUAAACAAAACACACGUGUCCCAAUGUCACUACGGUCGACAGCGGAAAAGCAGGUGCUCGCGCAUUUGCGCUUAAAGCACACUGCUUCAAGGGGGAAUCGUGACAAUAUCAUAUCAUUUUGUAUUAACACUUUAUUUAUGGCCCUAAUACUCAAAUUUUCUUUAGGAGUAGGCAUAACUACUGGGGUAUGGAAGUACUUUGCUUUCUUUUGUUUUCAGUCACACACUCUCUGCUUGGUCCAUUUUUCUUCAGAGUCCUCCAAACUGUGUUUUUUUUCACAUUGAAACCUUUCUGUAAAAUUCUGUCAGGUCAUUGUCACCACGCAUAAUCCCUGACCAGAGUGGAAAAAUUGGAUCUUCAGUAGACAUGUACACUUGAAAACUCUUUGGUAAAUGGUGACCUAGCCAAUAUUGUGUUAGCCUCUGGAGGGAUGGAGUAUCCACUGUCUGCUUCUGGAAUUUUUAUCCAACGAAUGUGGUCAUGAAGUUCUUGAAGACACUGAUUUACACAUUCUGUCUUUGCUUUUGGGUAAAAGAUAUGGCACAUGCUCUUGAAAAUGUCUAAAGCCUUCUUCAGACUUGUGGUGUUUAUUAGCUGUGCCACACAGUGAGUGGAAAACUCUUUCAAGCCCUUGCCAAUUGCUCCUUGGACUGCUUUGAUUAUAUGUGCAGAACAAAGGUGAAGGACACUUAGUCACCUAAGGUUUGUCAUGGUGACAUUUCCUUUAACUAAAUUGUAGCUUUCCAUUAGGUAGGUAUGUAUAGCUUGUUUACUGAAUGACAACAGGGCAUUGUGGAUGAGUGCCCAUCUAUAGUCGGUCUCAACCUGGUAUAUGUUGUAGACAGUGAGUUUCCGUAUCUUUAUUAUGGUCCGAUGCAACCAAAAAGAAACAUUUGGAAUUGUGUGGUCAUUUGUUAUCAUUUCAGACACAGGUAGAGGAGGCGUGUCUUGGCCAUGUCCUGGUAGAUUGAUGCUGUAGUACAGCACUCUGUUUGGCUGAUUUGGAAUUCAACUCACAACCCCACCAGUAGCAUCCAAAUGCAGGGUAGCAGGAUGUCCCUUUCUGAGAUUUUGUACCAGAAUGACAAGUCCUGUCCCAGUGUACAGAUAAACUCCAAAUGGAUCCACCUGAAGAUCUGUACAAUAGAUCCGUAUGUAUGAUAGAUCCGUGUCUUUUAUGAUUUUCUGAGUUAACAUCAGCUCCAGCAUCACAUCAUCGUGUAGUCUGCAGCUUUUAUUAAUUUCACAAGAAAUUACUUUGAGUAUGUUUUUAUUUAAACUUCUUAUGAUGUUUCCAGCUGUCAAAUCAGGAUCUGGUGUUUUUCUGAGAUUCUUGUAGUAUACAUUACUUAGUCCUUGUGACUCUUCUUUGGCAAUCUUGCCUCUCUUCUAGUGACUGUGAGUGACCUUUGAGUGCUGGUACGGAAACACCAAUGUACAGCAGAGAUUUCGUUAACGAAUUUUUCAUAUAUUAUGUGUGUCCAUAAUUUCUGUAAUUUUCUGCUACCCAGCAAAGGGUUUAACUUUUUCCAUUUUCAUGUGGAUGUGUAAAUUGUGUAAGACUUGGGUCCUGGCCUUGUGCUCCUAUAUGGCUUCAUUUGAUGACCCCAGGUGAGAGAUUCUCUGCAGACUUCUGUGCCUCGCCGCACUUGCAAUUACUGUCUGUCAGGACCUGAGGUGAGAGAUGGUCCGCAGACAUUGGUGGCAGGCCACGCUCUCCAUCACUGUCUGUCAGGACCCCAGAUGAGAGACGGUCAGCAGACUUCUGUGGCAGCCCGCGCUCUCCAUCACUGUCUGUCAGGACCUCAGGUGAGAAAUGGUCCACAGACUUCUGUGCCACCCCCGCUCUCCAUCACUGUCUGUCAGGACCUCAGGUGAGAGAUGGCCCACAGACUUCUGUGUCAUGCCACGCUCUCCAUCACUGUCUGUCAGGGCCUCAGGUGAGAGACGGUUAAUGCAAAAAUGUGAUUAAUUUUCC
ensembl:lncRNA